rnacentral:rRNA from 1 species
GAUGAACGCUUGCGGCAGGCCUAAUACAUGCAAGUCGAACGAUAGUGAGAAGCUUGCUUCUCACGAAAGUGGCGCACGGGUGCGUAACGCGUAUGCAACCUACCUUCAUCAGGGGGAUAGCCCGAAGAAAUUCGGAUUAACACCGCAUAAAAUCACAAUAUAGCAUUAUACAAUGAUCAAAUAUUUAUAGGAUUAAGAUGGGCAUGCGUGACAUUAGUUAGUUGGCGGGGUAACGGCCCAUCAAGACCACGAUGUCUAGGGGAUCUGAGAGGAUGACCCCCCACGCUGGUACUGAGACACGGACCAGACUCCUACGGGAGGCAGCAGUAAGGAGUAUUGGUCAAUGGAGGCAACUCUGAACCAGCCAUGCCGCGUGCAGGAAGACAGCCCUCUGGGUCGUAAACUGCUUUUAUUCGGGAAUAAACCUAUCUACGUGUAGAUAGCUGAAUGUACCGAAGGAAUAAGGAUCGGCUAACUCCGUGCCAGCCGCCGCCGUAA